GAUGAACGCUGGCGGCGUGCCUAAUACAUGCAAGUCGAAGGGAGUGGCGAACGGGUGAGUAACACGUGUGUAACCUGCCCUUUUCUUUGGGAUAAGCCUGGGCAAUUGGGUCUAAUACUUGAUGGCUUGGGCUUGGCUCGGGGCUUAUUAGCUUGUUGGUGGGGUGAUGGCUUAACAAGGCUUUGACGGGUAGCCGGCCUGAGAGGGUGGACGGUAACAGUUGGACUGAGCAACGGCCCAGAGUCGUACGGGAGGGGGAAGUGGGGGAUAUGGGAGAAUGGACGAAAGUCUGAUGCAGCGACGACGUGUGGGGGAUGAAGGCGUUCGGGUUGUAAACGCCUUUCGCCAGCGGAAGGGUAGUGGGUAAAGAAGCGCCGGCUAACUACGUGCCAGCAGCCGCGGUAAUUC
rnacentral:rRNA from 1 species